rnacentral:rRNA from 1 species
GUGAGCAACCUGCCCCUGACUCUGGGAUAAGCGCUGGAAACGGUGUCUAAUACUGGAUAUGUGCCACGGCCGCAUGGUCUGUGGUUGGAAAGAUUUUUCGGUUGGGGAUGGGCUCGCGGCCUAUCAGCUUGUUGGUGAGGUAAUGGCUCACCAAGGCGUCGACGGGUAGCCGGCCUGAGAGGGUGACCGGCCACACUGGGACUGAGACACGGCCCAGACUCCUACGGGAGGCAGCAGUGGGGAAUAUUGCACAAUGGGCGGAAGCCUGAUGCAGCAACGCCGCGUGAGGGAUGACGGCCUUCGGGUUGUAAACCUCUUUUAGCAGGGAAGAAGCGAAAGUGACGGUACCUGCAGAAAAAGCACCGGCUAACUACGUGCCAGCAGCCGCGGUAAUACGUAGGGUGCAAGCGUUAUCCGGAAUUAUUGGGCGUAAAGAGCUCGUAGGCGGUUUGUCGCGUCUGCCGUGAAAUCCUCAGGCUCAACCUGAGGCUUGCGGUGGGUACGGGCAGACUUGAGUGCGGUAGGGGAGAUUGGAAUUCCUGGUGUAGCGGUGGAAUGCGCAGAUAUCAGGAGGAACACCGAUGGCGAAGGCAGAUCUCUGGGCCGUAACUGACGCUGAGGAGCGAAAGGGUGGGGAGCAAACAGGCUUAGAUACCCUGGUAGUCCACCCCGUAAACGUUGGGAACUAGUUGUGGGGUCCUUUCCACGGAUUCCGUGACGCAGCUAACGCAUUAAGUUCCCCGCCUGGGGAGUACGGCCGCAAGGCUAAAACUCAAAGGAAUUGACGGGGACCCGCACAAGCGGCGGAGCAUGCGGAUUAAUUCGAUGCAACGCGAAGAACCUUACCAAGGCUUGACAUACACGAGAACGGGCCAGAAAUGGUCAACUCUUUGGACACUCGUGAACAGGUGGUGCAUGGUUGUCGUCAGCUCGUGUCGUGAGAUGUUGGGUUAAGUCCCGCAACGAGCGCAACCCUCGUUCUAUGUUGCCAGCACGUAAUGGUGGGAACUCAUGGGAUACUGCCGGGGUCAACUCGGAGGAAGGUGGGGAUGACGUCAAAUCAUCAUGCCCCUUAUGUCUUGGGCUUCACGCAUGCUACAAUGGCCGGUACAAUGGGCUGCGAUACCGUGAGGUGGAGCGAAUCCCAAAAAGCCGGUCCCAGUUCGGAUCGUAGUCUGCAACUCGACUACGUGAAGUCGGAGUCGCUAGUAAUCGCAGAUCAGCAACGCUGCGGUGAAUACGUUCCCGGGUCUUGUACACACCGCCCG